UGUGUAUCAUGCACCGGCUUCAAUCCUUUAACCGUGAAGUCCUUGGAUAGUUGGUUUCAACGCUUGUUUUCACGAUGCAUUUAUUACUUCAGAUUCCGAACAAGUCUGCACUUUGGCACAUCUGCGAUGCUUCGAGCUAUCUGGUGGACCAAUUAUUUUUAUUAAUUUAUAAUUAAAGUAUGUAUUUGUAA